GUAAUACUCCCUCCGUCCGAAAAUACUUGUCAUCAAAAUGGAUAAAAAGAGAUGUAUCUGGAACUAAUAUACAUCUAGAUACAUCUUUUUUUAUUCAUUUUGAUGACAAGUAUUUCUGGACAGAGGGAGUAGUUA
rnacentral:pre_miRNA from 1 species